rnacentral:rRNA from 1 species
AGUCGUGGGGCAGCGCAGGUAGCAAUACUGGGCGGCGACCGGCAAACGGGUGCGGAACACGUACACAACCUUCCUACAAGUGGGGAAUAGCCCAGAGAAAUUUGGAUUAAUACCCCGUAACAUAACGAUGUGGCAUCACAUUGUUAUUAUAGCUUCGGCGCUUGUUGAUGGGUGUGCGGCUGAUUAGAUAGUUGGCGGGGUAACGGCCCACCAAGUCUACGAUCAGUAGCUGAUGUGAGAGCAUGAUCAGCCACACGGGCACUGAGACACGGGCCCGACUCCUACGGGAGGCAGCAGUAAGGAAUAUUGGUCAAUGGACGCAAGUCUGAACCAGCCAUGCCGCGUGAAGGAUUAAGGUCCUCUGGAUUGUAAACUUCUUUUAUUUGGGACGGAAAAAGGGCAUUCUUGCUCACUUGACGGUACCAGAUGAAUAAGCACCGGCUAACUCCGUGCCAGCAGCCGCGGUAAUACGGAGGGUGCAAGCGUUAUCCGGAUUCACUGGGUUUAAAGGGUGCGUAGGCGGGCAGUUAAGUCAGUGGUGAAAUCCUAGAGCUUAACUCUAGAACUGCCAUUGAUACUAUCUGUCUUGAAUAUUGUGGAGGUAAGCGGAAUAUGUCAUGUAGCGGUGAAAUGCUUAGAUAUGACAUAGAACACCUAUUGCGAAGGCAGCUUACUACGCAUAUAUUGACGCUGAGGCACGAAAGCGUGGGGAUCAAACAGGAUUAGAUACCCUGGUAGUCCACGCCCUAAACGAUGAUUACUCGACAUUUGUGAUACACUAUAA